rnacentral:misc_RNA from 1 species
GACAGUACAGUUGUGAAUUUGAUGUUUUGCUUUGGCUUUGCUUCACUGCUUUUUUCUGCUGUUCAAAUUAAUGAUUGUUACAAAGCAGAAUGUUCCUAGCAAGGGUAGUUUAAAUAAGUUUAAUGUAUUACAUAUAACGAGUUUGCCAUUCCACCUUAGUUGACUAGUGAAGAAACUGUUCAAGAAGUUAAUUCUUCUUGGCUACUGUGCAUAUAGUUACACAGGUUUUUGUAGGGAUUUUAAGCGGCAGGAUAUGACAAUAUUACAAUUAAGUAUUAUUUAAGUUGAGACUAAGUUUGAAAGUGAGUUAAGCACUAUGGAAGAACCACAACAAAAGAAACUGUAUUAUUGUUCAUAUGAAGGCUGCGCGUCUUAUUUCGAUAGGCCUUAUAGACUGGCACAACAUUUUCUAGCUCACAAUAACAUUAGACCUUUCCCGUGUAAAGCACCUAAUUGCAACAAAGCAUAUACAAGUAAAAGUCAUUUGGAUCGACACAUAUCUUCGGUACAUUUGCCCCAUGAAAAUGAUGUUGUUUACAGCUGUCCACAAUGUUUGAAAUCAUUUGCAAAUCGACAGAAUCUCAAAAGGCAUAUGAACACAGUACACUUGGUGGAGUUUAUUUGCGAUAUUUGCAAAUUGGCCUUCAAGAAGAAAAAUCAAUUGAGUGCUCACAUGUAUGAACACACAGGCCUGAAAGCUUUCAAGUGUGAUCUAUGCUCGGAUACAUUUAUAAGUUUGUACUUGAAGAAGAGACACAUGAGAUACCAUAAAACAUACACUUGUGAAGAAUGCAAUGUAGUUUUUAAUCAUUGGUCAAAGUACCAGAAACAUAAGAAAACUGAACAUGUUUCAAGUUACUCUUCAACUCCUCGACAUCUAAAGUCAUUUAAAUCGUUAAUUGAGAGCAAUGUCACUGUUAUCCAACCAAGGUUUAGUUUAUGGGCCCCAGGUGGAGCCGAAUUGCGGUUAAUGCAGUCACCUUCGGCCGAAGACGACGCCGAAGUGUUUAUCUGUAAUGUAUGCAAAAAGACCUUUAAGGAAAAAGGUCAUAUGGUGAAGCACCUCAAAACACAUGGACAAAAGAGAAUUACUAAAACAUUCCCAUGCCCUUAUGAUGAUUGUUCUAGAUUUUAUUCAAGAAAAAGCAAUUUAAAACAACAUAUAUUAGUAAAACACAUGAAGAUCCUCCAUGAAUGCAUGAUAUGCCAUGCACAGUUAUCGACAAAGGCAAAAUUGAAUUAUCACAUCCAAUUACACUACAGAGAAGGUGGAAUACCAAUAGCAAAACCUAAAACUGAGAAAAACAAAGAGAGGAAACCACGAAAAGAUGAAGGAAGUUUCAAAUUUUCAACAGCUCUGAAACUAUCUGGCUUAAACGAUGUUCCUGAGGAAACAGACUCGGCCGCAGAGUCUACGGAAUCACCCAUCAAUUUGUCAGUAAAAUCUGAACACAUUGAAGUAGAAGUUGAUGUCCUUAUUUAAACUGUUUAAGUUAGAUGAAAUGACAAGUCCUAGUAAACAUGCAUCUAAAAGUGUGCUUUAUAAAAAGAUUAGAUUAAUAUUGAUACCAGUGUGCAUAUAUGAACAAACAAAGUGAAAAUUUUAGGAGAAUUGGAAUCGCUGAUGAUGAUUGCAACAUCUUUAGUAUGUUCAUGAAUGCAGAUUGACCAAAAUAUAGUCUACUACUAUACUAUACUUUUAUAUGCACUUGUAUCAAAGCUUAACUAGUUUGUUACUAAAUGGGGCAUACAUCACUUUGUUUUUGCUAAACAAAAAUGGAGAUAUACAAACUAGUUUCCUGUUACAUGUAAAUAUGAUUUUAGUGAGAGAUCACAUAACUAAAUAAAAUAAUAUUUAUUUAAAUAUGUUUAUGUAUACAAUGACAAUUUUACUUACUUGACAUAUAUAUAUUAUUUUUAAGUAGAUGUAAUGGUACUCAACAUUUCCUAUUAUUAUAAGUACAAUAUUAGAUCUUCAGAUAUUUUGAAAAUAACAUGUAUUAUAGGUAUACUACAUAUUACAUUUAUUUAAUUUUGUAAAAUAUUGUAGUAGCAAAGACCUAAUCAAAAAUUAUGUUAGGUAAGCAGUUAAAAUCCUUGUUAAGCCAAUUUUUAAUUAUUGAUUUUAACUUUUCCACCAGGUAUUCAGAGGCUUAGACAGAAUCUCCAAACUCAUAAUUGACUUCAAAUACAUUUUAGAAAUCAUAUUCUAUCAUUCAUGCUGGCAUGGUGAUUUUGGGCUGAAAAAUAGUGUGAAACAAUUUUAUAUUAUCAGUGAGAUAUUAGAAAAUAAAAAGUAUAGUCCAAUUAAA